GACGAACGCUGGCGGCGUGCUUAACACAUGCAAGUCGAACGGAAAGGCCCUGCUUUUGUGGGGUGCUCGAGUGGCGAACGGGUGAGUAACACGUGAGUAACCUGCCCUUGACUUUGGGAUAACUUCAGGAAACUGGGGCUAAUACCGGAUAGGAGCUCCUGCUGCAUGGUGGGGGUUGGAAAGUUUCGGCGGUUGGGGAUGGACUCGCGGCUUAUCAGCUUGUUGGUGGGGUAGUGGCUUACCAAGGCUUUGACGGGUAGCCGGCCUGAGAGGGUGACCGGCCACAUUGGGACUGAGAUACGGCCCAGACUCCUACGGGAGGCAGCAGUGGGGAAUAUUGCACAAUGGGCGGAAGCCUGAUGCAGCAACGCCGCGUGCGGGAUGACGGCCUUCGGGUUGUAAACCGCUUUCGCCUGUGACGAAGCGUGAGUGACGGUAAUGGGUAAAGAAGCACCGGCUAACUACGUGCCAGCAGCCGCGGUGAUACGUAGGGUGCGAGCGUUGUCCGGAUUUAUUGGGCGUAAAGGGCUCGUGGGUGGUUGAUCGCGUCGGAAGUGUAAUCUUGGGGCUUAACCCUGAGCGUGCUUUCGAUACGGGUUGACUUGAGGAAGGUAGGGGAGAAUGGAAUUCCUGGUGGAGCGGUGGAAUGCGCAGAUAUCAGGAGGAACACCAGUGGCGAAGGCGGUUCUCUGGGCCUUUCCUGACGCUGAGGAGCGAAAGCGUGGGGAGCGAACAGGCUUAGAUACCCUGGUAGUCCACGCUGUAAACGGUGGGUACUAGGUGUGGGGUCCAUUCCACGGGUUCCGUGCCGUAGCUAACGCUUUAAGUACCCCGCCUGGGGAGUACGGCCGCAAGGCUAAAACUCAAAGGAAUUGACUGGGCCCCGCACAAGCGGCGGAGCAUGCGGAUUAAUUCGAUGCAACGCGUAGAACCUUACCUGGGUUUGACAUGGAUCGGGAGCGCUCAGAGAUGGGUGUGCCUCUUUUGGGGUCGGUUCACAGGUGGUGCAUGGCUGUCGUCAGCUCGUGUCGUGAGAUGUUGGGUUAAGUCCCGCAACGAGCGCAACCCUUGUUCACUGUUGCCAGCACGUUAUGGUGGGGACUCAGUGGAGACCGCCGGGGUCAACUCGGAGGAAGGUGGGGAUGACGUCAAGUCAUCAUGCCCCUUAUGUCCAGGGCUUCACGCAUGCUACAAUGGCUGGUACAGAGAGUGGCGAGCCUGUGAGGGUGAGCGAAUCUCGGAAAGCCGGUCUCAGUUCGGAUUGGGGUCUGCAACUCGACCUCAUGAAGUCGGAGUCGCUAGUAAUCGCAGAUCGGCAACGCUGCGGUGAAUACGUUCCCGGGGCU
rnacentral:rRNA from 1 species